rnacentral:rRNA from 1 species
CUCCAACAGAGGACUAGAGGAGCAGAUCUAGGUUUUUGCGUUCUCCCGAGGGAGAGAGAAGGAAGCCUCCGCCCUCCCCGCCGCCCUCCGCCCGCCGCGCCGUCCCGCCGCACUCCACCCGCCACCGCGCCGUCCUCUCCGCCGCCGCGCCGUCCUCCCCGCCGCCGCGCCGUCCUCCGCCGCCGCCGCGCCAUGGAUAAACAUCCCAACCCCACUCCUCCGCUAAAUUUUGAUGCGAAGGAAUUCAUCCCCUCCCCCUCCCGCUCCCCGCAGGAGGAGGAUGCCCCCUUGCCGGCGGGGAUUGUCUACAACCCCUACCGCGACGCCUACGGCCACCACCACGUCCAGCAUCAGCCCCCUCUGAAUCUGUCUACCUAUUGGCGGGAUCAACACCCUUACGCCCAGGGGCAUCACCAACAGGGCCAGUACAACCCGUAUCACGGCCAGCAACAGCAGCAGCGACUCGGCCAGUCCUCAUAUAGUCAGCAGCAGCAGCAACUUCGCCAGUUCUCAUACAGUCAGCACCAAUUCGGCCAGCUUUCAUAUGAUCAGCAGCAGGUCUCAUCAAGUAGUCUGGCCCAGCAGCUGCAGCAGCAGCAGCUCUCGUCAGCUGGUCAGGCCCAGCAGCUGCAGCAGCCGCAGCAGCAGCUCUCAACAGCCAGUAAGAUCCAGCAGCAGGGACAGGGUCAGAUCUCCUCCGCCAGUCAGCCCCAGCUGCAGCACGAGAGCCCAUCAGAUUCAGCAGCAGCUGCAGAUUCACAAUCAUCAUCCCAGGAGGUUCACCACCAGCAGCUGCUCGUAGGCUCAUCACCUGAGACAACAUCCAGUGUGCAGAAUGUACCAGUUCUUUGGACAAUUGGUCUAGAUCUGCCUCCCCACAUUGAGGAAAGCAAUCUAUGCUUCAUGUUCAGGAAGAUACCAGAGCAUGUUCUGAAGGUUGGAAAAAGAGGCACAGUGCAAUUUAGCAACUUUGAAGAUGCACAGGCAGCACAAAAAAGAUGGACCAUUAAGGAAAAGAUUCUCCAAAGGAGUGAAGAUUACAAAAAGCACAUCAGAUCAGUGCCAUACGGCAGAAUGGUACCUGAGCUGGGUUCCAUAGCGACUAAGAGACAGAGAGAGGAAGAAGUUGGAAUAAAGUCGUCUCAAAUGGAAGCAGUGAAGCGACAUAAACAAGAUGAUGCAGCGAGGAGUCUGCAAGACGACCCCUAUAAAUGGUGCACGGUUGAGGACUUCUCAAAAGAAAAACCUGAGAAUGAGCUUGUGAGGGCUUUUAAGUUUGUGGCUGCUGCAAUCCGAGGUUCGGUCGGCCCCAAGAUAACGCUAUGUGCAGCAGGCCCUAUGGGAAACUACAUCGUCGCUAGCAUACUCGGGCAUGCAUUCGCCGCGCAUUUGAGUGGAAGAACCUGGAAAGGUAAAAUGAAGACAAGGCAUUUAGCCAUAUAAAAAAAAAUGAACUUGUGUGCUAUCCUAUUGAAGACGGUGAACAUGACAAGCGAGGAAGACAUGGCCGACGACAUCUUGAGUAUUAUACAAGCAAUUGAUCCAUUGUACAGGAUCAACGGUCAUUUACCACAAUACUAUGCUGAAAUGAUAGACAAACUGAAGAAACCACCAAGAACACUGAAUGUUGAGGAACUAAGAAAAUUCCACUUGAAGGUGUUGAAAAGACCUGCUUUCGCUACACCUGAACUGAGGUCAUACGGUGUUCAAGAGUUCUACACCAACACCUUGGACCUGGAAUUUGACACUCCUGAAUGGAGGGCCUUUGACAGUUCUGCCCCAGUGCAUUUAGAGGACUGGCAGCACAUCACCAAGGUUGAUGAACUUCUGUUAAAAAAGUUAAUAGAGAGCAGUGGUAUGGAGGACAAAUUUGGGAAGCAGUGCCAUUACAUGCGGCAUCUUGUGGUGCACUCACCUGAGGACAAGGAGAAGAAGUAUCUAUCUGAUAACAAAAAGAAGGCCCAUGAUCCUUUGGCCGCGUCGGCGAGUCACUCUGGAGCUCGCCCCCGCCUCCCUCCUCAGCCCACAAGAAAGGACGCUCUCUUUCCUGCAAUUAUGUCUCAAGCUAAAGCGAAGAAGACAACCCCCAGCAGCUCCUCCGCAGGUCCCCACCCUAAGCCCAAGGUGUUGUUGCUGAUGCCGGAGAGAGACAUGCUGGCCCAUUAUUAUUUCAGAGAAUUUAUGCCUGCAUUUGUUGACCUCUUGUACAAAGAGAAGGAUAAAUAAGAGUGUCUUCGGGAAAUUUGGAACUCUUAUGAUAGAGGUAUUCCCAUUGUGGGGUAUGUACCUUAUGAUAUGAUUCCUGAGAGAUUCCUCGAAGAACUCGAGGAAGACAAUGCCAGCUCUGGAGGUGAAAAAGUCAUGGAGGUGGACUAGCUGGGAGAAGGAGAUCGCUGCCCAGGAUAACUGAUCAAGUUCUUUGUUAGCUAGUAUUUUUUGUGGUGAUACUGAGCUGGGAGAAGGAGGUGGGCUAGCUGGGAGAAGGCGCUCGCUGCCCAUGAUAACUGAUCAAGUUCUUUGUUAGCUAGUAUUUUUUUUUGUAAUGAUACUGAGCGAGUGCCGUGUGGUUUAGCACAUCUUUUUAUCCCAGUCUCCUAGUUUAGUGGUACCUUCGGGGAGAAGACACAUGACAGAUUGAUAGCUUCCGGAAACUUUCUAUUGGUUGAUAUCUUCUGGAAACCAAGCAUGAUUGCCUCAGAAAAUGCUAGGCUGAGCCCUUUUAUGCUGGUCGUUUGAUUGCUGCAAGAUUCUAAGGUGGCGUUUGGUUGUGGCUAUCCCAGGAUGGGAUAGGGAUAGCCCUUUUUCUUUGAGGGAUAGCAGUCGUUUGGAUGAGAGGAUAGUGUGGUUGAGGGCAGCCACGGUUCCUGAAUAUUCUCACGAAAAACUGGUUGAGGCUGUUCCCGAAAGUCUGGCGGAUGGUGGCAACCACCCGUGUUCGCUGCACUCCGAUCACCUCCUGCAGCCCCCAGCAUGGGUGAUUUUGGAAUGCCGACUGGACUCGGCGAGCGCCGACGGUAGGUAA